AGAGUUUGAUCCUGGCUCAGGAUGAACGCUAGCGGCAGGCCUAACACAUGCAAGUCGAACGGGAUCCGGGGGCAACCCUGGUGAGAGUGGCGCACGGGUGAGUAACGCGUAUGCAACCUACCUGUAACAGGGGGAUAGCUCCCCGAAAGGGGAAUUAAUACCGCAUAAUACUAAUGGAUGGCAUCAUUUGUUAGUAAAAACCACGGUGGUUACAGAUGGGCAUGCGUGCCAUUAGCUAGUUGGUAAGGUAACGGCUUACCAAGGCGACGAUGGCUAGGGGGUCUUAAAGGAUGGUCCCCCACACUGGUACUGAGACACGGACCAGACUCCUACGGGAGGCAGCAGUGAGGAAUAUUGGGCAAUGGGCGCAAGCCUGACCCAGCCAUGCCGCGUGCAGGAAGACGGCCCUACGGGUUGUAAACUGCUUUUGUGAGGGAAGAAACUCUGGGAUGCGUCCUGGACUGACGGUACCUUAUGAAUAAGCCUCGGCUAACUACGUGCCAGCAGCCGCGGUAAAACGUAGGAGGCGAGCGUUAUCCGGAUUUACUGGGCGUAAAGCGCGUGUAGGCGGUCUUGUAAGUUGGAUGUGAAAGCUCCUGGCUUAACUGGGAGAGGUCGUUCAAAACUGCAAGACUUGAGAGUGGUAGAGGGAGGUGGAAUUCCGGGUGUAGUGGUGAAAUGCGUAGAUAUCCGGAGGAACACCAGUGGCGAAAGCGGCCUCCUGGACCACUUCUGACGCUCAGACGCGAAAGCUAAGGUAGCAAACGGGAUUAGAGACCCCGGUAGUCUUAGCUGUAAACGAUGUGAACUUGGCGUCGGUGGGUUUAAAUCCAUCGGUGCCGAAGCAAACGCGAUAAGUUCACCGCCUGGGGACUACGGCCGCAAGGUUAAAACUCAAAGGAAUUGACGG
rnacentral:rRNA from 1 species